rnacentral:rRNA from 1 species
CACGUAGUUAGCCGGGGCUUCUUGGUCAGGUACCGUCCGGCUGCCCCUUCCGGGGCAGUUUGUCUUCCCUGCUGAUAGAGCUUUACGCGCCGAAACGCUCCUUCACUCGCGCGGCGUCGCUGCAUCAGGGUUUCCCCCAUUGUGCAAUAUCCCCCACUGCUGCCUCCCGUAGGAGUUUGGGCCGUGUCUCAGUCCCAAUGUGGCCGUCCACCCUCUCAGGCCGGCUACUGAUCGUCGCUUUGGUAGGCCGUUACCCUGCCAACUGGCUAAUCAGACGCGGGCCCAUCCCGUACCGCCCUCGCGGGCUUCCCGCACAUAGGCAUGCGCCUUUGUGCGCUCAUGCGGUAUUAGCGACCCUUAUUUCUAAGUUGUUACUUCCCCCUGUACAGGGCAGGGUUGCCCACGCCGUUACCUCCACCCGGUCCCGCC